UUCUCUAUUUUGCUGGGUUGUAUCCGAAAUACCACUACAAUAAGCGAGGAGAAAAAAAAAAAUCAUUUUUUUUUAAAAUAAAAAUAGGGAGGGAAAAUAGCAAAGGGCGGCAAGAAGCAAUAACGAAACACGUUUCGCUUCGUCCUCACUCUUUCAAACCCUAAUUCUAUCAUUUCAUCUUCCCCUUUCUCUCUACCAAAUUCUCCCCAAAUUUUCAUUACCACCUUCUAUGGAAGCUAAUCUCUGGUAAUUAGAAAUCGAAGAUCUCACACUCAACCUCCCGGUAAAUACCACUAGUUGCAGGAUUUCGCAUCCUAAACAGAACAGUGUUGUACUUUUUUUCAUUCCUUGCGGUGUGCUUGUUUCACAUUUGAGAAAGAAUAGUUGAUGAUACAAAAGUAGGCUAGUUGUUGAUCUCCUGUCACUCUGGCGGCAAUCCCAUCUGGUGUUGGGACAGUUUGAUCUUCAAUAUUAGCUUUUGCUGGUAAGUUUCCUAGCAGCAUGUCCCGUUAUUCUUGUUUUCACUUUUUUGUCUUUGCAAAUUUACUUUCUAUAAAAUGGAAUCUGGCAAAAAGUGGGCGAGGUGCACGUUUUUGUUGAUCGAAUCCCCUAACGCAAACAAAUCCUGAAAUGAAGCAUCAAAAUGUUAAUAGGCAUGACAAGAUUGAACAUUGAUAUUUCUUAGAUGCAUAUGGGAACUACACUUAUUGUAACGAGGGAUGGGACUCAUGAUGUUUUUAGGGAACUAUUAGCCGACUAGUCUGAUAUUGAGUUAUUCCAGAAUGAUGUGCGGACACACAUUUGGAUCAAUCUUAAGGGUUAGUAGAUCCACCGGGUUUCAUGGGUACUGUUUCUCUCUUGUUAGGUUCUUGAAAUCACGUUGAAAAAUAAGAAAAUGAAAGGAUUUAUAGUUGCCCAAAUUACUAAUAUUACAUAAUAAUACUGUUAAAUAUGCUUGGAUCUGAACUCCAAAAGCUAGCUUAAAGGAUGAGAUUGCUCUCUCACACGCGCGCGCACACACACACACACACACACACACACACACACACACACACACACACACACACACACACACACAUAUAUAUAUAUAUAUAUAUAUAUAUAUAUAUAUAUAUAUAUAUAUAUAUAUAUAUAUACACACACACACAUUCAACAGUCUGGGAACCUAACCUCACGCCUAGGAGCGUUCUGAUACCAUCUUAGAAUUGUGGUUGAAUCUAACUUAUCCCUACAAAACUGACUUGUAAGGUGAUGAUUGCCCACACUUAUAAACAUAUGUUUAGGCCAUAUUGUCCGAUGUGGGACUCUUCAACAAAUACUAAUAUACAAGAAAUAACAAGCUCAUGAUUUCUCUAUCUAUAUCAUUUCUAAAAGGCCUGAUAUCAAGUAUCUUGUGUAAAUUAUACUGGCAUUAGAAAUAUUCAACAAUUGCUGUGAGCUGUGUUGGUUAUUUGUCCUUUUUCUUAACUAUAGGUAUUUGACAUGGUUAUUAUUUAUGAAAAUUUUGCUAAACCUGAAGUUACUUCAGGCCUUCUUUAUUUUUUCUGCUGAUGGAUUGGCCACUGAUGCAAAUUUGGUGGAUAAUUGGAAGAAAUAACCGGUGUAUUAAUUUAAUUUUGCAUACUUUUAUCCCUCUUUUGAGUUGUGAGAAGGUAUACUGACUGACCAUAUAUGCAUAUUCUCAAUUAUCGGAGUUUAAUUUGGUAAUCAAAUUUUGUAGAUCCUAUGUUUCCUUAUAGGAAACCAAUUAAAAUGGUUUAUUCUUUCAUAUGUUAUUAAAAUUUUGCAAAGUAAUAAGAGAAGAAAUAAAACAAAUAUUUUACGGCAGUCUGCAUACCUCUCCAAAAGCAAUGCUGAAUUUCUUGGGUUGAGAGACCUAGUAGACAUAAGAUUUUUUGUGAGUGCUCUGAACUUCUCAGACAAAACGGUUUAGAAUAGAUAUUAGUAGAUGAGCAUGUGGAUUUUUUCCCCUACCUUUGAAAAUUGACGAUACAGAGGUUCCAAAGUAUACCGUCCUCCUUGGCAAAUUCCAUAUCCAUGCCCUAGGGAUAUCUAUGGGCUUAAUGCUGGAUGCGUGGUCCGCAAAUAACUUCAUGAUAAAAAAAAGUUUUUAUAGAUCCUUGGGGGUGAAUAUUGAAAUUUAAAACAAGGGUAUAUCUGUUAAGGUUACCAAACAGUAACAAAACAUAAUUUAAACUUACCUCGUUAACUUGAAAGUAAGUUCCGUUGAGUGGAAAGCUUCCCCUUGUUGCCGUUCUACACGGUAUCUGUAUAUGGGAUAACAUUUGUUAAAGUUAUUACAAAAUUUUUAAGGCUAGAAAAUAGUCUCUUUCAUUGCCCUGUCCGAAUCCAGAAAUUAUUAAUCAUUACCAGAAUUGUUCCUCUCACAAUUUGUGAAUUAGCUUCUCUAAUGCUAUUGCAUGAAAAGCAUGUGUUGUCAUUGCACAGGCUGGUUGAGUCUUGCGAUCCACACUUACUUUGCGGCGGUUCAGUGGAAUUUGCAGUCUCACCUAGUAUUCAAAUUUCAUAAACAUCAGAGUGAACAUUUUAUCUUUGACCUAACAUAUACGUAGUAAUGAUCUUGCUUAUGCUUAAAAUUUUUCUUUUCAAUUUAGCUGUUUUAUGUGUACUUGUGCUUGUGCAUUGAUUUUAGAAUAGGAGUAGCUUUUGAUGACGACUAUUCUUUGCAUAUGGUAAUUAUUAUUAAUGAUUAAGUAUUACUUGAGUUUAUUACAAGUAUCAUCUGCUAACCUGGUGACCAUAUUGCAAGAAGAUACGGGCUUGGGUCAUCAGGUUCCCGCUUAUCCAUCUGUAAAUUUUUGUACACAAACAUAUAUAAAAAAAUAUCCCAAGCUGAUUACUGCAUGUUUCAGUACUGAGAAAAGAAUAACUAACCUUUUCCAACAGAGGAUGUGAAUCUGGAAGUUCAUAUCUGCAUCAAUCAGGGGAUGUUAGAUAGCGUCAUUUAGAUUUCCAUUAAGAAAACAGAUCAGUCAUACAGUCUAGAGAGUCAAGGAAUUUAUAAUGACUUUACGUAUGACAAUGACUAUAGCUGUGUCAUUUAAAAUAUAGAUUUUCUAGGCCUAGAAACCAGAGAGGUUCGACAACACCAUAUCGUUUUGGACUUACAUUUUGAGAAUGAAUAUUCAAAUGCUUUGCAUCUCCAAAUAUACUUAAUUUAAACAAUUUAGAAAAUCAUAUGUAUGAAGGUAAGAUAUAAUUAUAUUCAGGACCUGUAAGUCCGUGGGUGCUGAUUUAGUUUCAGCAUUUUGGUUGCUAUACUUAAAAUUAACUCAUAGUCCAAACAAAAGUGCGACUGAGUUAAAUUUUCUAGGACACUUAUAGGUUGCUCAACUUGAAAAAAGAAAAGAAAACUAUUUACACUUACACUUGGUGUUCUGUUCUUAGCCGGCUCACAUUCUUCAGUUUUGGUGUUGGGAUGGAAGCAGACUGUGGGUUCCAGGCAACAAGGGCCUUAGACUGGUCACCUUCAUGUUCUUGCAUGUGGUUCUGUAAACUCUUCGCAAACACUUCGAGAUUGACAUUGAUAGUAGGAAUUUCAUCAGGAUCCUCCCAAAAGAAGUCCUCAAUGUCACUUUCUAAUGCCUCCGUACUCUGUUCUGGUGUUGCUGGUUCUUCAAUGAUUGGCUCGCACGGCCUACUUUGAGGACACACUUCAAUGCUCGUGUUGUUCCCAGGGAGAGGUAGGAUCACUGGGUUUAAAUUUGGAGGGCUUCUCUCAUCUGCAAUGGGAACAGGCAUGCUCACAAUUUGCUUCUCUUCUGGUCCUGGCAAGGCAAGCCGUGCACUGUACUGAAAGAGUUAGUCGUCUUAUAAAAAUAUGACAAGUCUGUCAUGCUCUUCAUACUAGAAUACUGUCGCUGAAAGUAACAACUCAUUAAAUUGACAUGUCUAUUUUUACGCGUUAGUCUUUGUCCUUUUAAACUGGCUAUGACUUUAAAGUUUCAGAUGCAAUUUUAAAGACUUUUGUGACCUGAUUGUUUUGUGUGAAGAAAAUGAAAUUGGUUGAUAUGUAGCUUCAAAUGCAUUUUGCAUUAAGUUGAUUACAAUAUGUAAUGCAACUGACAUACUGAGUAACUAACCUUGCAAAAGCACUGGCAAAAUGUCUGCACUCUGCUCGCAUUGGGCAUGCAUUGCAAUUUGGUUUUUUCUUUGUGCAGAAAACCUACAUAUUUGGAACAUGAAUUACUUUUAACCUCUUCUCUCAAGGUUGUGGAGCAAAGCUAGUUCCAAAACUAUGUUUUUUGUGAAUACCAUAUUAAAAUGUAGAAGGAAGUUACGCAUACCUUCCCAAAUGUAAUCAUCUGAUUUUAGGGAAGUUAUGAUAUUACAAGGUUCUUUGAUCAAGUUUGCACAAUCUUGGCCAAAGAUACUUUUGAAUAGACUCUAGCACUGGAUACCUGCACGAAACGUUUUUCAGGAAGUGGUUGGAGAGGAACCCAUCCAAGUCUAACGGCUAUCCUUCCAACAUUGGUGUCAACCUUCGAGGCACGAGCAUAGCAAUGUUAUUGCAAGGGUUUUUAAUGAUUUGCAUACUAGUAAGCAGGAAAUGGAUUUCAAAUUAGCCUUACUGGGAAAGCAAGAUGAUGAAGUGUCAGAAGCCGUACACAUUCCACACUUUUUAACCCCAAUCCUCUCAUGCUUAGCAGAUAGUCCCUGCAUUUGAAAUUGUAUAUGGAAGCCAGUAGAAAGGACAUGGUUAAUUUGCAUUAUAUUCUGUUAUUUGCUGGCAGUGUCUGCUAAAUAGAAACUUUCUUAGAAGGACAUUGGUUAAUGGUGAUAAAAGAUUAUGGCUUACUUUACUUUAUCAGGGGGAGCAUGUCUUAACCAUUCAAGGUCAAUGCUUCCAUGUUCUCUAACCAGUCUAUUCAGGAAUUCCUGACAUAACAUAGAAGUUCUAUAGCUCAGUAUUAUUUUAUUUUAGUUAAAAAUCAGUGUUAUACAAACUUGAAUGGUUGAAUAUACCUUGAUUCGUUCAGCUAGCAUGUUGUUCAUCCCCCGCUCUUUGAUAGCAUCAGAUAUCUCUUUAACAGAGGCACAUCUUAUUGCUUCAUAGUCCAGUGAAUCCAUAGCAUCUGCGUUUCUUUCUAUCUUUGUCCCAUUUUCUUCUACCUCCUUCCUUAGUUUGUCCCAGUCAUCUUCAUGCUUUUUGUUGGCCUCAGGCUUCGUUUUUCUUUCUUUUCGAACCUUGAGUUUUCCCUCUUUGUCUUUUUGGCCUGGAGAAACUUGCUUCUUUGCCUUCUUUUCAGCCUGAGUAUUAUCAUAGCAUACCUGUCUGGUUUCCGUGGAUAUAAUUUUUUCACUGUCAAAAACUUCUUCUGCACAUGUUAAUAUAUUGCUGUGAUCGUUCCCUGCAUGAUCUUCGCCACAUAUGUGAGAAUUAUUUGAUGAUUCUGCAUAUGUCUUGCCCUCUGAUUGGAAGGUUUUCUGACUCACAAGGUGAUGGUUAGGUGAAGGUUGAUUAUAGUUUGUAUGAGAUCUAGAUUGAGAAGUAUCUCCUAUAAAAGCUGAGUGCUUGCUUAAUGGUCUGUAAGAUUUCAUAGUUGGUAACUCUGGAGACCCCAAUGUUCCAUUUCCAUCCUGCAUUUCAGUGGGUUUAUCCACACUCUCUCCAGUUCCGUUGAUGCCAAAUCUCAUAUAACUGUUGUCUUGAAAUUCAUUGUGUAUAGAAAGAGUGUCAGGCCAAGAAAACUCCUCACCAUUAAUUUGAAAAGUAUCCAGACCUUGUAUGUACGAGUAAUAUGACUCAUAGUUUGUUGAAGGGGCUCCUGGCGGCUGUUGCUUUUUUGGAUUUCCAAAGCUGCAGGGAGGGCCAGAUGCUGAAUGGAAACUGGGAAUAUCAUUUCUGCCUACUCUUGAACUUUGUUUCACAUCAUGUUGCUGUAGCUUUCCAUGGGUUCUCUCUUCAAUUAGUGAUACCCCGUUUACAAUAUGGUAAAAUUCCUGAAAGAUAGUGGUUAUUCCUACCUCUUGAGAAUUUGUUGAAGUUAAGAACUGAGCCUUGCUGUGUUCACACCCACUGUUACGUAAUUCUGAUUCUGAAUUGGAUCUAAUUCUGGUAUCUUGAGUAACUGAGGAAUCAAGAGAAUCUUGUGAUGAUAAGAAUUCUUCCUCUGAGCUAUGAUUAUUUGGCUUUAUUAGGCUCUCAUUUAUCCUUGAAGUUUUACUGUCUUUCAAAAGAUCUUCUGUAUGACGCGGCAUCUCAAAGUCAAUAUAGUAGGUUGGUGGAUUUAAUUUUCCUCUUUCAUAUGAUCCUAUUAUGCCAGCUUGAUUUUCUAUGCAAUGUUGUGGCUCUUCAACCAAUGUGUGUGUGACAACAUCACUACUUUUUGACUUGAGAGGAAACCUUGCUGCUAGAGACAUAAAGGCAGAGCUGCAAAGAGAGGAAUGAAACAUAAUGUUUUAGUGGGAUUUGCACAACAUCUUGUACUAGCAUUGGCAGUUUUGGCAAAACAACCUGAGUGGUGAAAAGUAGAAAACACCUAAUGCUAAUAUAUGAGCUUACCUUGAAAGAUGGUCUGAGACAUUCUGAGUGAGAAAAACACCAAUCACAGAAUCAACAACAGAUCCUUUCCACUUUGAAAAACGUCUAUCUCCUGCAUAGUAGAGGUAUAUUUAAUUUACAAAUAUAUCCCGACAAGUGAACAAUUUAGCAAUCAAGUGAAUAAUUUCAAUAAAUCUUAGGCUUCUUUUUUGUCAAGGGAUGCUAAUUAAAUAUAAAGGAUUUUAUUGUCAAUUCUUAGUUGUGUGCCUUUGCCUAUUUUCCCGCCUUUCUGUGGAAGUUAGGAAGGAAAUAAAUGGUAGGGUUUUAGGGAAGGGGAGAGAAAGGGAGGAUAACCCCUUGCCUUGUUUGAGAAUGUUUUUGGAGGGGAGAAGAGAUAAUAGCUUAUCACUAUUUUUGUUUUGUUUUGACAGUAUUAUAUAAAGUAGAAAAGGAUUUGGGAAAUUUUUCAAAGCUUUCCAAAAGCUUCCAAAUUCCUACCUCCAUUCAUAUUUCGAGUUUCCUAAUUUUAGUCAUAUAGGUAAAAGUAAACCCCCAUGAAUGGCGAGAGACUAUCCCCCCUUUUCUAUCCCCUCCUAAUUCUGAAACAAACAGUUAGAAUUUGCGUUGUUAUAAUAUUAGGGUUAUUACUUAUUAGUCUUAUUGUAUUUAGUUGGCUUGUGCUUCUGCUAGUAGUUCCUAAUACUUGACUUAUUAGUUGAAAAAUUUAGGUAUUGUAUCACAUUUAUUCUAUUAUAUAUUCAGUAUACUAUCCUACAAAAGUCUAUAAUUCCAACUCAUUGAAGUAUAUAUAUGAAUGAUGUCGUAAUGACAAGUUCAGCGUCAAACAUCAUAAAUUGAAGAGAACCAGAGGCAUAUUAUCAUCAAGUUUUGGGCCUUUAAUUUGAUGUUUUGUACCUUGAACAAGAUGCAUCCGUGCAAUGAAGGAAUCAGCUCGUCCACGAAAUACAUUUCUUUCCUCUUCCCACCACUUCUCCUUUUUCUUGUCAGCUCCUUCAAGGUCUUCACUUCCUUCGAUACCCAUCAACAGUUUCCAGGUUCUCUCUGUUUCUGGAUCAAGGUCCACUUUAGGCCUUGGUUUACGUUUCUUUUCAAAUUCAAAUUCCUGGUAGGGUACAAUAGAACCAUCUCCCUUAUAUGGGACAAGUGCCUUUUGUUCUCCCAUCUCUGACGUGUUGCUCCCAUUGACGUGGAGACUAUUCAGUUGGCAAAUUAUGCUGUCCAUCAGGGUGGGAUAUAUCUGGUGUCGCUCUCCUGAAAAUGAAGAAACAGAUAAUUAUCAUUAUUUUGUUUACUGAAAAGUCCUUUCCUUUAUCAAACAUACCUUACCUGAGAUAGCAAAGGAAUCACCAGUGCGAAUUCCCCUGGUUUGCUUCUCUACAAAUCUACUGCUUUCAAUACAGCAGUUUGUCGUUUCCUCGUUAUGUGAUUGAAACCCAUUUUUUUCUGCUUUUCUUACUUUCCGUGAAUCAUCUUUAGGCUUUAUUUGGCUGGAAGAUCCUCCGCGGACUUUUGAGUGGAGUUUAUUUUGAGUUCUUUUCCUUUUAUUUUUCUUUAAGAAACCUUUGGCAAGAGUUGUACUUGUGAAGUUUCCAUCCACUUGUAAAAUCUCUUGGCACAAGGAAGCACCAGGUGGAUUUCUGGAUGAGUGAAGUUGGUUCUUAGUGCUGUUAGAAUAUUUUCUCUUGGAACCCUUUGCUUCAAUGGGGUUGGAAUGAUUGUUAAGCAACUGAAACAUAUUUUCAAAAAUCAGUUCCCCUGUCUCCUGAGUGUUUUCAAAACAUGUUUCUGAUUGAAAGAGAGUGUUGCCAAUUUCAUUUGCACUAAUGUAUUGUUGCAUGCAUCCGCUAUUUCUUUCCUGCCAUAGACUAGAUUUUCCUUGUGUUGGACCUUUCUCAAUGACCGAAAAUUUUGCUAUCUGCUUUUCUGUAGUUUCUGACAAAGUUAUGGUUGAUUCCCUCUCCGAGAGGAAAGGAUUUGAUUCCUUUCCUUUCAAUAGAAGUGGAAUAUCAUCUGUGUUACUGGGUUGUCGGUGUCCUACGGCAAGGUCAUCCUGCUGACUGAUCAUCAAAGAUCUCUUGCUGAAAAACCAUGCUGCUCUGGCUUUCAUGUGUACUAUUUUCUAAGUCAAAAUUUAGAGCUCUCCUGCUGGAUUUUGUAGUUGCUGCCGUUGAAUCACACGUGUCUUUUAUAACACCUGCCU